AUGGCCACGCAAAAAUGUAUGAUACAUGACACUUUGCUAUCUCAUUUGCCCUGUUCUUGUAUAUGCAACUAUUCUGAACUCUUUUUUAUGCAGAUUAUGCAAACAGAUCGUACUACCGUGCUGCACUCUAAGGUUUCUAGUGUUUGUAGUCAGGUGUCUUUCAACAAUAGCGAGAAUGUGGAUCCCAACAAAACAACUACUGGAACUCAGGUGACCAACCAUGAGACUGGUUGCAGUACUUCAGAAGGUGCAGUGAGUAAUACACUGAAGAGAAAGAAGGUUUCUAAAACAACAAGAAUGAAAAAAACUACUCAAGCAAUCUCUGCUACAACCGGAAACAACAUACUUAGGAAUUCGGGCAGGAAAACAUGA
rnacentral:rRNA from 1 species